GGUUAGACACUGAUCUGGGAGCAGCAGGUUAGACACUGAUCUGGGAACAGCAGGUUAGACACUGAUCUGGGAACAGCAGGUUAGACACUGAUCUGGGAGCAGCAGGUUAGACACUGAUCUGGGAGCAGCAGGUUAGACACUGAUCUGGGAGCAGCAGGUUAGACACUGAUCUGAGAGCAGCAGGUUAGACACUGAUCUGGGAGCAGCAGGUUAGACACUGAUCUGGGAGCAGCAGGUUAGACACUGAUCUGGGAGCAGCAGGUUAGACACUGAUCUGGGAGCAGCAGGUUAGACACUGAUCUGGGAGCAGCAGGUUAGACACUGAUCUGGGAGCAGCAGGUUAGACACUGAUCUGGGAGCAGCAGACACUGAUCUGGGAGCAGCAGGUUAGACACUGAUCUGGGAGCAGCAGGUUAGACACUGAUCUGGGAGGAGCAGGUUAGCGUUUGGUGCCAGUGGUUAGUUUGCUGAAGUGUAGUGUAUAUCUGCUGCUCGGGGUCACUGUCCCCCUUUAACACCAAGCAUGAGGCCUAAAGGCAGCGAUGGACUGGGUAACGAACUACUG